UACGUAGGGUGCGAGCGUUAAUCGGAAUUACUGGGCGUAAAGCGUGCGUAGGUGGUUUUUAAGUCCGUUGUGAAAGCCCUGGGCUCAACCUGGGAAUGGCAGUGGAUACUGGAAAGCUAGAGUGCGGUAGAGGGUAGUGGAAUUCCCGGUGUAGCGGUGAAAUGCGCAGAUAUCGGGAGGAACACCGGUGGCGAAGGCGGUUCUCUGGGCCUUACCUGACGCUGAGGAGCGAAAGCGUGGGGAGCGAACAGGG
rnacentral:rRNA from 1 species